AGUGAACGCUGGCGGUAGGCCUAACACAUGCAAGUCGAACGGCAGCACAGUAAGAGCUUGCUCUUACGGGUGGCGAGUGGCGGACGGGUGAGGAAUACAUCGGAAUCUACUUUUUCGUGGGGGAUAACGUAGGGAAACUUACGCUAAUACCGCAUACGACCUACGGGUGAAAGCAGGGGAUCUUCGGACCUUGCGCGAUUGAAUGAGCCGAUGUCGGAUUAGUUAGUUGGCGGGGUAAAGGCCCACCAAGGCGACGAUCCGUAGCUGGUCUGAGAGGAUGAUAGGCGACACUGGAACUGAGACACGGUCCAGACUCCUGCGGGAGGCAGCAGUGGGGAAUAUUGGACAGUGGGCGCAAGCCUUAUCCAGCCAUACCGCGUGGGUGGAGGAGGCCUUCGGGUUGUAAAGCCCUUUUGUUGGGAAAGAAAAGCAGCAGGUUAAUACCCCGCUGUUCUGACGGUACCCAAAGAAUAAGCACCGGCUAACUUCGUG
rnacentral:rRNA from 1 species